UACAGAGGAUGCAAGCGUUAUCCGGAAUGAUUGGGCGUAAAGCGUCUGUAGGUGGCUUUUUAAGUCCGCCGUCAAAUCCCAGGGCUCAACUCUGGACAGGCGGUGGAAACUACCAAGCUGGAGUACGGUAGGGGCAGAGGGAAUUUCCGGUGGAGCGGUGAAAUGCGCAGAUAUCAGGAGGAACACCGGUGGCGAAGGCGGGUCUCUGGGCCGAUACUGACACUGAGGAGCGAAAGCGUGGGGAGCGAACAGG
rnacentral:rRNA from 1 species